rnacentral:rRNA from 1 species
UACGGAGGGUGCAAGCGUUAUCCGGAUUUACUGGGUUUAAAGGGUGCGUAGGUGGGUAGGUAAGUCAGUGGUGAAAUCUUCGAGCUUAACUCGGAAACUGCCAUUGAUACUAUUUAUCUUGAAUACUCUGGAGGUAAGCGGAAUAUGUCAUGUAGCGGUGAAAUGCUUAGAUAUGACAUAGAACACCAAUUGCGAAGGCAGCUUACUACAUAGUUAUUGACACUGAGGCACGAAAGCGUGGGGGAUCAAACAGG